CCCAAACGAUUUGGUCUCUCACAUGCAGACUGGAAUUGAACCUAGUGGAUUGAAUUAUAAACAACGUCAUGGGGCAAGAUUUCAUUUUAUGAUGACAGUCUGGUCAGAUGGCCCCAGGGCACCCAGAGAAUGCACCGGAAACCCAGGAGUUGGACAGCAGCUUCCCCCAGCACAGAGCCAAGCAGAGGCUGACUCUGACCUGAAGUCUGCGCCCCUUUCAGCACUCUGGGAGCUAUUACCACCUGUCCAUCAGCGGCAUCAAGGAGCCAGGAGUGAUGACCUGGACAGUUCAGACUGUGGGAAGAGGUCCGCGCUUUGAUGUGAGCCACAAGGAAGAAAAGCCAAGAAGGGAAGAAAGCUUAUAGGGCGUGUGAUCUGAGUGGAGUCUGGCUUUCCUCACUCACCAGGACCUGAAAAUGAGCAGAAAUUGGAUUUCAGUAUUUGGCAUCCCUUACCUGUUCAGAACGUUCUAAAUGUACUAGCUUGCCUAAGGCUCUCAAUAACAGCUGUGCAAGGAAUAUACUAUUUCAUUGAGGGGAAACACAAAGCCCAAGAGGGGCCAAAUGGUGUCUUAAAGCCACGUCUGUAUGCAGCAGAACCAGGUU
rnacentral:lncRNA from 1 species